rnacentral:misc_RNA from 1 species
GUGAAUCAUCGAAUCUUUGAACGCAUAUUGCGCCCUCUGGUAUUCCGGGGGGCACACCUGUUCGAGCGCCAUUUCAACCCUCAAGCAUGGCUUGGUGUUGGGUAAGGUCCUAGAGGACCUACCCGUAACUCGUAGGCGGUUACUGCCUCGCGCCCCCAGCGUAGCAAGCUUACGCACUCGCUCGGGGACGGGGUGUAACCUUUGCCUUUUGCAAAUCAAACCCCUCAAAGGUUUGGCCUCGGAUCAGGUGGGGAUACCCGCUGAACUUAAGCAUAUCAAUAAGCGGAGGA